AAAUUAGAGUCUGGACUUUCACAACCCCUGGACUUGGACUUUCUGCUGUUCACUUGUAGGCAAGAACUGUACCUCUGGGAAGCACCGUCCAGACAUGUAAAUAUCCAGCCAGAGAUUAUCCAAGCUUUAAAAGAGUUCCUCAGACUGGUGUUGGACCACAUUGAUCGUCAUAAUGUGGCACUGACCCCAGUUCAAACUGUAAGCGGAGCAAGGGGGCAACCCAUGUAUGUGGUGGAAAAGGACAGACUGGUUGAACUUAUUGCAUUAAAUCUUCAGGUGAAAAGCAUAAGAAGAUUACAGGGGAUUUCAACCAGAACUGUCCAUCGACGAAUGACUGAAUUUGGCCUGUCUGUCAACCAGACUUAUAGUAAUCUUACAGAUGAAGAGCUGGAUGAUUCCAUCCGGAUCAUAAAAACUGAAAAUCCGACAGCAGGCUAUCGGAUGGUGAAAGGAAGGCUGAGGUCAAUGGGCAUCAAUGUGCAGUGGAGAAGACUUGCAGCAUCAAUGCAUCGUGUGGACUCGCUUGGAAUUCUUUCCAGACUGACUGGACUUGGCUGUGUUGCGCAGAGAACCUAUUCAGUCAGGACCCCUUUCACUGUGGCAUGUGGACACUAACCACAAGUUGAUUAGGUACAACAUUGUCCUUUUUGGUGGAGUUGAUGGCUACUCCAGAAAGGUGAUGUGUUUGGAGGCCGCCACCAA